AGCUGCGCCAAUGGGGUUUUAUUUUAUUCUUCAAUUUGGCUUGAUCGUAAGCCACGUGAGGAAACCUCUGCAUUGUGACCAGGGGGUCACGUGAUUUCUUUCACCUCCCUAACAGCUCUGGGGAAAUGAGUUUUCCAAGGGAAGAAAGGUAACUUUUUGAUCCGCUACUUCCGCAGUCUGUCUGAUGGCGGAAACUAUGGGAGACCAUUAAUGACGGGCAUGCAGACUGCAGAUAUGCGUUAGGUGGUAGACUGGAGGAGUGGACGGGUUUCACGUGUGACAAGCGUUGGUGCCUCAGCCGUGAUGAUGGAGGGGCUGGAUCUUAAGCGGGCACUUAGAAAUCCUUGCCUUCUCUUGGGCACCCGGUUUUCGCUCCUGAAAGUUGUGAGGCAAAGCAUUUUCGGUUAUUCUGUUCUGCUCUGCGACGGGAAAACUGAAAGAAGAAGAACAAAAAGAUCUAAAGUGAGGAUUGUCGUGGGAGGUCCUGAAAGUUCUGCCUGCAGGUGUCUGAAUGCACGCCUUCAGACGAGUAUCAGCAGAUCCACCUUUCUGGGACACUUUUCUGAGAUGGUGAAAUGCUUCUCUGUAUUGUGGAUUGCUUCAUUUAUGCCCCUGGGGUCUCUCUGGAGGAGCAGAGAGGUCCCCAGAGGAUCUAGGUUUCUGACUGCACUGCAGCCACCAGCCACAGACCUGCAGAGACUUGCUACUUCAUUCUGGGGAGCAGAAGAGGUGCAUAAAAGCAGGGCAGAGAGAAGAAGACCCUUGGUCCAGAAUCAGCCGAGCUGCCGCUUCCUGCAUCUGCCAUUAGAAGCUCUUUCCACUGGCUUAUCUUCAAGGAUGCCUAUGACACAGUGGCCCUGCCCUCAUGUUCUUCUCUGAGGCCCAUCCCAACCUGGCCCUGUCUGCCAGGCUGCAGUUCUGGUCUCCUUGACCCAGAAAGCCCCUUCUCUUGGCUCGCUGGACACCAGCUCUUGCGGCUUAUGUUUCUUCAUGUCCUUCCUGCCCCGCCAGGCUGUCUGAGCAUUAAAGUGAGCUCGCACACUUGGA